CAACAUUUUGUGGAUCUAAAGAAGAACUAUUUACACAUUUCCGACAUGGACAUAAAAUUUUUCCAUUCAAACUACUUUUCUCCAUACCAAAUUUAAUGAAGUCAUGAACUCCAUCUAAAUAUUCUUUACUAUUCCUUGGUUUAUUUAUCCAACUUUUGUCCAUUGUAGGAUAAAAAUGACCGAACUUGCAAUUUAUCUAAAAAUAAAAAAAUUAUACAAUCUAUAUUAAUGCAAUGAGUAAAAAAUAUCAGUCAUUUUAUAAAAUUCAAAAAAAUAACAGCUAGAUAAAGUUUACAUAGUAAAUGCUUGCUAUCAUCAACUAAUAGGUAAAGAAGGUCCUAUCCCAUUCAGAAAAUGUAUUAAUUCUAUAGGUCAAUUACAAAAAUCAAAUGAUAUGCAACAAGAGCCAAAAAAAAUUUCGGCAGUAUUUCCCCUUAGUUCUUCCGUAUAGGAAGAACAAAAGAAAAAUACCAUCCAAAAUUUAUUCCAAACCCUCAGCAUACCAUUUGAUUAUGGUAAUGACCUAUAGAAUUACUCACAUUUU
rnacentral:lncRNA from 1 species